rnacentral:misc_RNA from 1 species
GAUGGAAGAACGCAGCGAAAUGCGAUAAGUAGUGUGAAUUGCAGAAUUCAGUGAAUCAUCGAAUCUUUGAACGCACAUUGCGCCCCUUGGUACUCCAUGGGGCAUGCCUGUUCGAGCGUCAUUUACACCCUCAAGCUCAGCUUGGUGUUGGGCGUCUGUCCCGCUUCGUGCGCGGACUCGCCUCAAAUGCAUUGGCAGCGGUCUUGCCAGCUUCUCGCGCAGCACAUUGCGCUUCUAGAGGCUUUGGCGGAUCGGCGUCCAUCAAGUACACCCACAGUUUGACCUCGGAUCAGGUAGGGAUACCCGCUGAACUUAAGCAUAUCAAUAAGCGGAGGA